AUCCGAUAAAAUUAUAUGAUUUGUCUUGGGAGUCCUGGCUAGCUGGUAAAAUUAUAAGGAAUCUCAAAAUCAAUAAAUAAGACUUCCUAUUAACAAACAUUCCGGCUGCAAAAAUACCGUACAUUGGCAUUGGCCCCUUAUGUUUAAAAAAUAUUUCUAAAACAACCCAGCAAAGAAGAAAUCUUUAAAAUAAGCCGCCAUUGUAGAAAAAUGAUUUAUCUUUCUGUUCAGAUUAUAUGUUCAGCCUUAAGAGUUCUAGUAAUAUUAAACAGAAAUUUAAAACCGAAAACGAAAUUACAUACAUAUGUACAUAUAUUUUAUACCGUACACAUUGCACUCCCUACUUAUUGAAUUUUUAUACAUUGGCCCGGUUUCUUUAAACCUUAUUUCCCAAAAAAGCAAAUUAAAGGGGGUCCAGAACCAAGUGAAUCUACAUCAACAGAUUCAUUUGAUUCAUUCAGAUUUCUCUUUUUCAUUUCAGGUUCUUCAAAAUCUGUUGGUGUUGAUGUGCAAAAUUACUAAUAUUGAUGGGUGACUGGCUGCCUGUGUUCCCGAUUUAAGGGCAAAAGGCGUACAGAGAAGCUGCCAAUAUUUAAUUGAUUUAUCUUUUUCAUUUCAGGUUCUUCAGAAACUGCUAAAGGCGUUCAUCAAAUACAUGACCCUGGUCCGGUCACAUAUACACAUAUACGGUCACAAACUGCCAGAUUUUAAUUGACUUUUUCUUUUUCAUUUCAGGUUUUUCUGGAUCGGCUGGUGUUUAUAUGCAAAUUACUAUAUUUGAUGAAAUAAAUGGCUGCCUGUGUUCCCGAUUCAAUGGCAAAAGGCGUUCAUCAAAUACAUGACACUGGUCUGACCACAUAUACAUGGUAAUUUGCAUUUAUUAGCAGAUAAACUGCCAUAUUUUAAUUGAUUUUUCGUUUUCUUUUCAGGUUUACUAAAUUUGAUGAAAUAAAUGGCUGCCUAUGUUCCCGAUUUCAAGGGCAAAAGGCGUUCAUCAAAUACAUGACACUGGUCCGGCCACAUAUACAAGGUAAUUUGCAAUUAUUUACAGAUAAACUGCGAUAUUUUAAUUGAUUUUUCUUUUUCUUUUCGGGUUUGGUGGUGUUGGUGUGCAAAAUUACCGAUUAUGAUGAGUAAGUGGCUGCCUGUGUUCCCAAUUUCAAAGGCAAAGGGCGUUCAUCAAUACACAUGACACUGGUCCGGCCACAUAUAUAAGGUAAUUCGCAUUUAUUUACAGAGAAGCUGCCAAUAUUAAUUGACUUUUCUUUUUCUUUUCAGGUUCUUCAAAAUCGGCUGAUGUUGAUGUGUAAAAUUACUAGUACUGAUGAGUAAAUGGUUGCCUGUGUUCCCGAUUUAAGGGCAAUUGGCGUUCAUCAAUAUACGUGACACUGGUCCGGCCACGUAUACAAGGUAAUUUGCAUUUAUUAGCAGAAAAGCUGCCAAUAUUUAAUUGACUUUUCUUCUUUAUUUCAGGUUCUUCAGUAGCGGCUGGUGUUGAUGUGCAAAAAUUACUAAUAUUGAUGGGUGAAUGGCUGCCUGUGUUCCCGAUUUCAAGGGCACAAGGCGUUCAUCAAUAUACAUCAAUAUACAUGACACUGGUCCGGCCACAUAUAUAAGGUAAUUCGCAAAUAUUAGCAGAUAAGCUGCCAUGUUUUAAUUGAUUUUUCUUUUUCAUUUCAGUUUUUCUGGAUCGGCUGGUGUUUAGAUGAAAAAUUACUAAUACUGAUGAAUGAAUGACUGCAUGUGUUCCCAAUUUAAGGGAGAAAGGCGUUCAUCAAUAUUAUUUAAUAUACAUGAUCCUGGUCUGGUCACGUAUUUGGCCAUGGUAAUUUGCAAUUAUUAGCAGAUAAACUGCCAUAUUUAAUUGACUUUUCUUUUUCAUUUCAGGUUCUUCAGUAGCGGCUGGUGUUGAUGUGCGCUAGAGUGAAGAAGCUUCAUUGGCUGCUGAACAGCAACAGCAAACUAUGCCUGAAUGCUAAGGUACUCCUGUAUAAACAAGUCAUCGCACCCAUAUGGCAAUAUACUCUGCCUGUUUGGGGUCCCCUUGCCUCUAGCCUUGAAUUUGGUCGCCUGCAAACUGAGCAGAACAAAACGUUACGGACUAUCACUAAUGCCCCAUGGUAUGUUCGUAACGAUACCAUCCACCGGGACCUGGGCCUUGAGACGGUGGAUGAGGUUUAUGCAAAAGUUUGUAAGAGAUAUGUUGACCGAAUGAGAACGCACAAUAACCAGCAAGCAGCAGCAGUCAUCAACGACCCAUAUGUCCCCAUGUCCCCAUGUCCCCAUAUAUGUAGGCUAACCAGACCUCGAUAUUCCGAUUACUUGAACACACACCUACGUAAGGAAAUUGAGAGGCAGGAAUGGAAUCGUAUGGAAGUUGUACCCUAUCAGCGGCCAUACACGGAAAUGGAAUAGCUUUGGAGAGACAGGGCAGACGCGUCAAAUAGGAGAGCAAUGCGAGCCAUGGGAUAUGAAGGGUAGAGGAGCCACAACCCCCCCCUCAGAAAGAGGUAUCAGCACCACACAAAGUUAUUACAGUACGGAUAUUUUAGCUAGGGCAAGGGAACGCGCAAGAUCGGGGGUGAAUGCAGUCACCCAAGAGCAGCAGCCAACAACAGCAAUAUUAAAUACAUUUAUUGCUGCUGACGAAAUUGCGCAGUUCGAUAUUGUAGACCUGACUGUGGGACGUUACGGAUGAGUCACACAAAUGAACAAGAAUAGCUUCCGUUGGUCAAUCUGAACCUCAGGACGACACUGAGGCUGCCCAGGAUCAGGACGCCAGCACCAGAAACGCCGGACUCUGGUACACGGAUGACCAUGGAGAUACCGGAAUAUGAUUCUGCAUUGAAUAUUGUAUGCAAGUGCCAUUUUUGAAACCGAGGCCCGAAACGCGUCUGAAAACGAUGCUGCUGAAAGAUAAACUGAUCGCAGAUAAGCCGCAGCAACUCGCCUGCAGCUAUUUUUCUUUUCUCCCUUCUACACACACACAACCGAAACCAGUAGAAGAGAGACGACACCAGCAACAACGCUCUAGAUAUUCUGAUUGAGAUAAAUCGAGCGCACACCCACUCACAUGCCUAUACACAUAAAUUUCUCGCUGCCUCGGACCAGAAGGCAGCGAAAAUGUUAAAACAGAAGGAAGACAGAAACUUGAAAACAUAGCUAUAACAAAAAAUAUAAUUAACACAUAUAUGUAAAUAUUUUUCACCUCUUCCGCUGCACUGACAGAAAUCACUUUUUCUUCUAUUACCUAUAUAUAUUUAUCUCUAGAGUUUUAAGUCACUUAUCUCUAAUGAAUUCCCUAUUGCCCUCCCCCGAUCAGUGGACUGCUGUUGGGGUCGAGGUAUUGUUUAAAUUUUAAAUGAAUGCGCAGACAGAGAUGUCGGAAGAGGAGAUUCCCGCUGCCGUAAAGUGACGUAUGCGCUGCCUAUUACUGAAAAACUGCAGUCAACAGGCAGACUCAUACAAUAUUUUUAAGUAAAACAGCAGCCCCAUGAAAUUGUAAUAUUAUGCUAAGUAUAGUAUAAAUACAAUAAAAUCCACCUUAUCGUAACGUAUAAUGGCUCUCCUGAACCUGCUGGUUCAGGUCCAGGAUGGAGUUGGUUUACGUUACGAUUAGACACUCUCGUAUUGCCACCGCAGCAUACGACAAACAAAAAACAAAUUCCAAAUCGAGGA
rnacentral:lncRNA from 1 species